AUUUCCGGAUCAAUUUCUUCGGUGGGAAAACAUAAUACUACUCCGUACUUCGUUAAUCCACCAGCUGAAAAUCAGUGGUCAAAUUCUCGCACCUCUCUGAUAGCGAGCCUACGGUCUUCCUCAUCGCCGAUUAACAGAUCGUCAACUGCAUUCUCGUCUCCGCUUUGCUUCAGCUGAAAUUCGAAAAGAAUUGGAGACCGCAGAAUUGCAUGCGAUUACCCCUGCUUCGAAAUGAGGACAGGAACACAAGCAUCUAGCAGAAAUUCUUGGCCACAUGGAUAGUGUUGAAGAGUCUGGUUUAAUUAAGAAGUCAUUUUUGGCAAUUACGUGCUGAAGAGAGUGUGUCACACUGACUAGACAGCCAUGUGCAAUUUAAAUUACUGUUAUGUUACAUGAAAAAAUAUUUUUCGGCUGCUAACCACAACCAUGCACUGCCCAUGCUCAAUGUAUAAAGGCACAUAUCCUUAGUUGUUGCUGUUGCCCUUUCUUUGAUUCCUUGCAUGAAAUUUAAUCAGAUUUCCUUAUAUUAAAUUACUACUUGAGAAUUGUUAUCUUCAGAAUUUGAUUAUAGAAGGUUUCCUCAGCUGACUGUGCUGUCUUGCUUGCUACUAGUGUUCUAUCAGAGUUCUCAAACUAAAUGCCCUAGUCUGCCCCUAGGAUAUGAUGUUAACCACUCUAUAUUCCUUUUUCUUUCUAUAGUUGAUCUCAGUUAUCAGAUCUAUACCGAAUCAGAGUGGCAAUCUCUGAAGCUUGGAUUAGGACAAUUUGAUUUUAUCCCAUUACUGAGUGCUGAUGCUUUUGGACUUUUUGUGCUUGUCCAUACUUUGACACCUUAUUGUAAAUGCUAUCUUACAAAUAUUAAUUGUUAUCAGGAAGUUGGGUAGUCAUAUCAUGUUGUGAUAUCAUUGUAAAAUAUCUAGCGAUUGUUGUGCUCGUAUGAACUACAUAUCAUUACAGGUUUGCUAUACCUCAUCCAUUCAAUUGUCGACCCUUUCUAGACGCUAUGCACCCCCUUUCCCCUGCACAGGGUUCCAUCUAGUUCGGAGCAGUUGAAGUAGCAGCAAUUUGUUAUGUUAUAGCUGGAUAGCGACUCCACGGUGAUUCUUAAUUAUAUUAAGCUGCCAACACUACGACCACAGCUAUGUCAACUCCUCAAAAGAGUAUAGAUCGAGAUAGAUAGGAAACCGGAGAAAAGGAAAUGUCUGUUUUCUUUGGACUCUUUGGAGUGACAUGUAAAAUGAUGCAUUUGCUAGAAAUACCAGCAAGAAAGUCGGGCUCACGAGUAUAAUAAGGCAUCGUUCAGUUGACAAGAUUACUUGUGACUAAAAGUCAUAUCUAUUCUUGUCUUUUGUUAGGUUGUCUUUUUCUCAAAGGUUCAAGAUUGUAUUGUAUUUCAUGAUUAACCAUCUCACCUUCACCCCAACUACUUUAAUUCCCGACAAACAUCAUUUUGACUUGUACUAUAUUGUAGCAUAUGUCAUUAUUAUAUUGUCUAAUGAACCGAACGCUACCUAUGGAUACUAUUUGAAAAUUAUGGCAAAAACAAAACCGCCAACGGUUCAUUUAUAUGGAUUUAUUAUUUUACUUUUGUUUGUGUUUUAGAGCAUUUCAUGGAGUACAUUUUAAAUGUCCUUUAUUUUAAUAUUUGUAUGAAAAAACACAUCCGAGUAUAAUAGUACUAGUAAGUACUCUCUCCGUCCCACAAAAGAUGUCACAC